rnacentral:rRNA from 1 species
AGUAGGAUGAAAAGGAGGUCUAUAAGGGAUGCUGAUAAUAGAAGUCGUGAGAGGGUUUGAGGACAAAGGGAGUACCUUUAGUAUAAGGGGGGUAGGAGUGUUUAUACUAGUAUUAAACCCCAAACCCCAAGAUACUAGCUUUUAUGACCUUAAAAAUAAGGGCAUUAAAAAUUAGGGUAGUGAAAUUCUUUCGAUUGGGGUAUAAGUGGGUUAUAGUUUGAGGUAAGCUUGAUGCGGGUCUUUAAAAUGGUGGCUAGUUUAAAUGUUUUAAAGUAUUAAAAUGUUAUAAUAAAUUAGGGUCCAAUAUAAUUUUAUUAGUAGAGAUCCGGGGUUGGAGUUAAUAGGCUCUAUUUGACGAUCUACCCAUGAGUAAUAAGGAGGUUUAAGGGUGGUUACUAUAAUCGCUAUAUUUUAACUCGUUCCUUUGGCAAAUGUUUAUUAAAAACAUUUCUUUAUACAGUAUAAAGUAUCCCCUGCCCGCUGAGAAUUUGAAGGGCCGUAGUAAGUUGACUAUGCUAAGGUAGCAUAAUAAUUAGGUUAUUGAUUGUAAUCUGGUAUGAAUGGGGGCAUGUUCAAGGGGGGUGAUUGUAGCGAAGUGAAAUUGCUUUAAGGUGAAAAUGCCUUAAGUGGAUAUAAGACGGAAAGACCCCGGAAGCUUAAUAAAGGUGUUUAUUUAGUUGGGGCAACGGGUGAUAGUUUAAGUGUCACUAUAGAAAGUUACUCCGGGGAUAACAGGGCUAUCUAGCUAAUAGCUAGGUUUGCUACCUCGAUGUUGGAUCACCCUUAGGAUAGUCUGUUCGACUUUAGGAGGGUACGUGAUCUGAGUUUAGAUCGGUGUAAGCCAGAUCGGUUCUUAUCUAUAAAGAUUUCCUUGUAGUACGAGAGGGGGCAGGGAGGCUAAUAAUUAG